rnacentral:rRNA from 1 species
AAAUACCUACUGGCUCAACCAUAGUAACUGCUUUUGUAAACUGGUAACCUAGAGUAUGGGAGAGGUAGAUGGAAUUUCUGGUGUAGGGUAAAAGUACCGUAGAGAUCAGAAGGAAUACCGAUUGCGAAGGCGAUCUACUGGAACAUUACUGACGCUGAGACGCGAAAGCGUGGGGAGCAAACAGGAUUAGAUACCCCUGGUAG